ensembl:lncRNA
GAGGGCUGAAAGGGAAUGAAUAAGUCCACCUGCGCCGUCGUGUCCUAUCCAGGACGUGCUGUCGUCGGUGUCGCCUCAAACCCUGCUGUGAGAGAAGGGGGACUCCAGACUGUCCGUGUUGCUUUCAUGGGUUUGAUGCGCUGCUCUUUCUUUUUCUUCCUUUGCCUUCCCGUUGACGGAGCUCCGGACAUCAGAACCUUGUUUGAAAUCUUUUUGUUGCAUUUUUUUGGUAAGGACAACAUUUCGGAGACUGUUGAAGUGCCUGACAAUUUCAGCCGUGUGACAGGAGAAAAUAAGAAAAUAAAAUAGAAAAGAAUGCCAAGUAUUAUAUCCGUUCUUUCGAAAACGUUUUAUUGAGGGCCUUUCAAAACGUGUUUUUAUUUUUCUGAUAUUUUCCUGACAGUCAACUCUUUCCUCUGAGACACCAAAGCUCCACUCCAAUCUGACCGCGACAGACAAGCUUUCGGGAAUCAAGGGAAUCUAACACAGUGGCUGACCCCUUCUCCUCGCAUCUUAUUCCUGCGGGGGGCCGGGCCCCCUGUAAACUGGACCACAGAAGGUUUCAAUCAGUACCAGGAGCCAGAUGUGGGCAUCAGGACACUGGCCAAAGAGGAGGAGAGAGUGGAGGAGGAGGCGGAGGAUUGGACAGUGGUAAGACACGCCAGGAACGCCAAAACCAAGACGAGUUAGAACGAAGGACCUGCCCGCGGGGCUGCAGGACGCAGAAAGCCUCGGUCAACCUGCCCAGAGACUGGAACGGAUCUGUAGGACACCAUGAAGUUAAAAUGGGUUAUUUUCACAGUUGUAUUAUUCUCCCAUUUAACUAAAUGUCAUGUAGUCUAAACAGUUACGUUUUUUUACAGUUAUUUUACAUCCAAAUCGAAUAAAG